AACGAACGUUGGCGGCAUGGAUGAGGCAUGCAAGUCGCGGGAAUCCCAGCAAUGGGGGAACCGGCGUAAGGGGCAGUAAGGCGUGGGUACCCACCCCCGGGUCCGGGAUAGCCCGCCGAGAGGCGGGGUAAUACCGGAUGACCUCGGGAGAGCAAAGCUCCGGCGCCCGGGGCGGGGCCCACGUGAUAUUAGCUAGUUGGCGGGGUGACGGCCCACCAAGGCGGAGAUGUCUAGCGGGUGUGAGAGCACGACCCGCGCCACUCGCACUGAGACACUGGCGAGACACCUACGGGUGGCUGCAGUCGAGGAUCUUCGGCAAUGGGGGCAACCCCGACCGAGCGAUGCCGCGUGGGCGACGAAGGCCUUCGGGUUGUAAAGCCCUGUCGAGGGGGAGAAAGGGGAAACCCGGAUCCAUCCCUGGAGGAAGCUCGGGCUAAGUUCGUGCCAGCCGCCGCGGUAACAC
rnacentral:rRNA from 1 species